AAAUAACCUAAAAGGAAAGGCAUCUAUUUAAAUUUUUUGCAGAGCUGCGCCUCCUGCAUGUGGGUCCAGCCCACUCCUGAGAAGCAGCUCCUUUUGGAAAACAAGGGGCCUGGCAAACGGCGUGUUAAAGGCAAGGGAAUGAAGAGAAGAGGAAAGAGAAGCCUGUGUGAGGAGAGCCAGCACCUCCGGCUGGACUGACAGGCUGACCCACUGAAUCCAAGGACCCUUGCUUUUCCGUGGAGACCAGAGAGAGUGCGCUAAUCAUCACAGGACGUGCAUGGAAAGUGCUGGGUACCCAGGAAGAGGGGGGCAAAUCAGCAUCCUCACCCUCUCAGAGCUGACAGCUCUGCCAGGGAGACACACACAAAAAUAGCCCUCUUGAUAUAAGAGCGCUAGCAUUCCUGAUACGUGCUUGCUGUUUGCUGGUGCUUAAGAAGCAUCCAGUAAUUUAAGUUCACCCAAACCUUGUGAUGUAGCUGUUAUGAUGAUCAUCUCCACCUUCCAGAUGAGAAAACUGAGGCACCGGGAAGUGAGGUGACUGGUCCAAGGUCAUGUCUAAUAAGGGGAGGAGCUGGGAUUCAGAUCUUGCCUCUCCAGAACCCACGCCCACGCUCCUCACUGCCCCUCCUUUCUGUCUCUUUCCUACCCGGGAAAUACAGACAAAUCUGACAGUUUUAAGCGGUGCAUUUGCCGGCUCUUAAAUCCCAGGUACCGAUUUGGUCAGCUCAGCGUGCUUUUCUCCAGAUUCACUUCUUGAACCUUGGCCUUCCUGCUUCCUCUUGUGUGACUCACCUCCUUGCAGCUGAAGGGCAGAGUCUGGAGCCUGCAGGGGGCAGGUUGGGAAAGCAGAGGGUCUGGUCCCCGGGGAGCUGUGGUCUUCAUCCCUGAAGCCUCUGCUUGGCACCUGUGAGCUUGCUCUGCGCUGGGCACCAGGGGUGCACCUGCUCUGUCUUCGGGAUCUUGCUGUCUACUCGGGGAACCAGACAUUAACAAGUCGACACUAGAAACCCGGGUGAAUGCCAUGCAGAGCAUUAUAACUGGCUCGUGAGAUGAAGUGUCUAUUUUGAGCUAGAUGACCAGAUGAGGCCUCUCGGAGAAAUGACAUUGAAACUGAGAUUUUAACCUCAAAGUGGAGCUGCCACAGGAGGACAAAAGGAGGGGCAUUCCAGGGAGAGGGACCUGCAGGGGCCGGGGGGCUGCCGCGUGGGCAGAGGCUGUGUCGCUGGAGCGUGCUGGGCGGGCAGUGUGGGCGAGGUGGGUGGGGGGCGGUGUGGGGCUGGGAUGCGGGCCUCGCGGGUCAUGGUGAGGGGUUAGGAUUUCAUUGAGGUGCGUUAGGAAGCCCUGGAGGCUGUGAGCAGGGGAGGGACAUGAUCGGAAGAGACACAGUCACUUUGCUGCCAGGUGCUCGUCAUUUUAGCAGGAAUAAGCCUCCAAGGCCAGUAGUGUGGCCUGACGGUCAGAGCUCCGCCCUCGGGAUGAGAGCUGCCAUUUCACACGCACACUUGUUCUUUCUCUGGCAGACGUUCCCUGGGCACUGACCACGGCCCGGCGCUUUGCAUGGCACUGAGGAUACAAAGGGGCCUGGGGAGUAUCCCUGGCCUCCAGCAUCUCCUGUUGUGGGGGCAGAGUCAGCCUCCCAGCUGGGACAGGACUCAGGAAACAGACCUCUGGUCCUUUGCAAGAUGUACCUGAGACAAGCACACCACGAGCUUCCAGAAGGCAGAGAAUCAGACUCAUCCCCUUCUGGGUUUAACAGAAGGAAAGAGCAUUAAUUAGGACACAGCCAAUGGUGGCCACUUGUACCUUCGAGAGGAGUGUGUGGGACACAGUUCACACAAAAAGGGACAUACAUUUCUAUUCAUCUGUUUCCUUUGCUGAGCUUCGUGAGAGAAGAAGAAAAUGUCAUGAGUGGCGCCCCCGCUGCUGAUGCAAAGCCAGCUAACAGCUACUGAAGUCUCGCUUGGUUCGCUUGGUGCGGUGCUAACAAUCCGACAGAUUUCCUGAAAUGCCGGGUCCAGUGAGUCGGCCAGACGACGCCAAAGGGCUGCGUGUUGGCGCCUGCCUUCAACCCCCGCUCACACGGUCACAGCUCUGCCGGGCCCGUCUUCCUGCUUGCACAGACCACACAGGCGGCCCGAGGGGACUGCUCAGGGCUUUCCUGGGGCUUUUCUGGGCGUGGGCACAGCCCUGCGCGGUGCGACCUUUUGGGUUCCUUAGGUCUAGAGGUUUGAUCGGAUUCGCUUGUACCAUUACGGCAAGAUAAAAUGACAUUCUUUUCCACUUGGACCCAUCAAGGUUUGGCACGGUACACGGCACUACACUGCAUAGGGAACUCAGGAGAGAGGCUAGCUGAGGAGAUGCUGCUGUGUUGAUUAUGAGGAUGGGUUUGGCACAGACAGGGGCUGAGGGCUGUCCCAGGCUAGUCAUGCAGGGAAAGGCCAGGGCUUGCAGACCUGCCUGUGCAGAGGGAGCAGAAUUAACAUGCAUUGUUCUUCAUCUGUGUCUUCUCAUUGGACAUGUCUGCUCACGGUCCUCUGCAGACUGACCGUACUGGGGAAACAGAGGCACCUUGGAAUCCUGCAUAGAAAUCUCCAGCAAUAAUCAGGCCUCUGGAUGGCGACAUUCACCCCAGAAGAUCGUUCUGAUGAAAUAAAAGCUGUCACAUAUAUUCAGGGGCAUGUGUUCAUCGUCAGCUGAAAGUUCUCUUUGACUUCCUCCCAGUGCAGAGCCCGACCUUGCACACAUGCAGUUUACUUAGGAAAGUGGUCUUGAGGAAGCGGAAUGUGGAAGUGAGAAGAGUAAACCAGGGAAGGAGAGGAAACCAAAGCAAGGAGGGAGUGAGCUGGUCGAUGCUGCAGGUAAUCAGAGCUCAGUUUGGCUGAGGACCCUCAGGACAACUGUGCUGAAUGCACUCUGGAACUUUCCACCUGAGAGAUGAGAAUGAGGGUCUCCCUCCUUGGCUCUCACUCCCGUGCACGGAGAGUUGACACAGGGGAUGUUCAUGUGCAUCUUCCAGGUGUGCACCUGCAUCAGAAUGGCUGAGUUAGUGCUCACACGUGUCCUACAAGAAAUUCACACGUCGGUGCUGAUACAGGAGGUGGGAGUUACACGGUACGGUGGAGGCAAGGCACUGUCCAGACGCACCUGUGUGCUGCUGUUUGCUAUGGGAGUCAGAAGGUGGGCUAAGAGAAUGCGGUGGGUGUGCUGGGGGUUCCCGAGGCCAGCCUUGGGUUUGAUGAUUCACUGGAAAAACUCAGAAAAGCUGUUAGCAUCGCAGUUAUGUUUAUGACAGUGAAAGGAUGAAUCAGCACAGGAAAAAGGGGUGUAGGGCAGAGUCCAGGAGAUGCCAGGCACAAGCUUCCAAUGGUCCACUUCCCGGGGCGUCCCAUGGUCACCGUUUCAUUCCCCCGGACAACAUGUGAUGUGUGACGACACACAGGAACUGUUGCAAAUCAGAGAAGCUCAUCUGAGCCCUGGUGCCCAGGGCAUUCACCGGGGGCUCAGCCGGUGCCUGUACAUCUGACCUCAGCUGCCCAAUAUCCAGGCGCCGUAGGCUAACCGGGCUCUGCCUGCUCUCAAAUCUUCCUGGGCAUCGUCUAGGUUUUCACAUAUUUUCCUGCUGGGCUGCAAGAUGGAUGCCAGGUAAGAGGAGACAGAGCCCCACGGCGCCAGGAACAGCCACCAGGCCAGGUGUGGAGGGGCUGCCAGCACCCAGGGCUUCCCCUUCCCUUCCAGCCGCUCUCCUCCACUGGCUUCAGAACCGAGGAGAUUUGAAACAAGGCACAUUCAUUUCCCUCUCUUUCCUUUCUCUUCUCCAGCGAGUCACUAAGGCUUACAUUUUCUCUCCAAAAUACCUCCCUAGAGUUUCUCUUCCUCCUCACGGUCCACGUCGGGCCCUGGGGACAUCCUCUAGCUGGGUCUCCUGCCUCUCUAAUCUCUCUUCCCUCAAACGGGCUUCCCUGUGGUCCCCAGGGGAUCAUUCUAAAACAAAGAGCGUCCUGUGGCCAUCUGCAUUUCUUCUUUUGGAAAUAUGUCUGUUCAGUUCUUCUGCUCGUAUGUUAAAUGGGUUGUUUGUUUGUUUGCUUUUUAAUUGAAGUACAGUUGAUUUAAAAUGUUGCAUUAGCUUCUGGAGCACAGCGUGGCUGGGCUUGGAGGGCAUGAUGCUAAGUGCAAUGAGUCAGAGAAAGACAAACACUGUAAGGCGUCAUUUCCAUGUGGAAUCUAAAAAGAAUACAACAAACUCGUGAAU